UACAGGGGGGGCAAGCGUUGUUCGGAAUUACUGGGCGUAAAGGGCUCGUAGGUGGCCAACUAAGUCGAACGUGAAAUCCCCGGGCUCAACCCGGGAACUGCGUCCGAUACUGGCAGGCUUGAAUCCGGGAGAGGGAUGCGGAAUUCCAGGUGUAGCGGUGAAAUGCGUAGAUAUCUGGAGGAACACCGGUGGCGAAGGCGGCAUCCUGGACCGGCAUUGACGCUGAGGCGCGAAAGCCAGGGGAGCGAACGGG
rnacentral:rRNA from 1 species